ensembl:snoRNA small nucleolar RNA SNORA8
UGUAUUGCACUGGUGUCUACAUUCAGCAGUUUAUUCCUGCUGGGUGUUCAAAGGACAGUAUGAUAUAAAUUCAGUAUCUGGCAUUGUUGGUUAUCUUGGCUUCAUUCAUGUUAAACCUGGAUUUUCACUGAUACAGUA